rnacentral:rRNA from 2 species
GUGAGGAAUAUUGGUCAAUGGGCGAGAGCCUGAACCAGCCAAGUAGCGUGAAGGAUGACUGCCCUAUGGGUUGUAAACUUCUUUUAUAAAGGAAUAAAGUCGGGUAUGGAUACCCGUUUGCAUGUACUUUAUGAAUAAGGAUCGGCUAACUCCGUGCCAGCAGCCGCGGUAAUACGGAGGAUCCGAGCGUUAUCCGGAUUUAUUGGGUUUAAAGGGAGCGUAGAUGGAUGUUUAAGUCAGUUGUGAAAGUUUGCGGCUCAACCGUAAAAUUGCAGUUGAUACUGGAUAUCUUGAGUGCAGUUGAGGCAGGCGGAAUUCGUGGUGUAGCGGUGAAAUGCUUAGAUAUCACGAAGAACUCCGAUUGCGAAGGCAGCCUGCUAAGCUGCAACUGACAUUGAGGCUCGAAAGUGUGGGUAUCAAACAGG